GAGGAAGCUCUCAGUUAAAAACUGUGGAAGUGCUCAUUGAACACUAAGCUGAGAAGCAGGCUUUGUCCCAGUGAGGACGUUACUCCAAGAAGAGGAGGAGGAUGUUUUCAAGUUUUCAAAUUACUAUUUAGCUAAAACUAGUAUUACAAAUAUUGUUUUGGACAAGUGACGUCUCUCGAAAUCCUGAUUUGAUUAAAAAAAAAAGUAUCAAUCCCUUCGAUAUUUAGAAAACAAAAUCUGUAAAGCCAAACUUCUGAAUAUAUUCUGAAUAAGAAACGAGUUCCAGCGAAGUUCGCUAAAAAAAACAUAAAAUGAAAUAGUGUUUGUAUGACACUUGAAUAUUGAUAAUAUUUCCACUGUAACAUUCGUGCAGUGUUCCGACAUAUUAUUAAAAAAAAAUGUCUGAAUAAUAAUCUGAAUAUACAUACCUUUUGUAUGAGAUUCUUCUAUGAAAGGACAUGUCAAAAAAAAAAAUCAGUGGGCAGUAUACAAUGUUUGCAUGCUAGCUGUCAUUGAAAACAUUUGAGAAGAGGAAAGCAAUUCAAUUAAUUCAUCAGCAAAGGUAAUAUUUAGCUUGACACUCAGUAUUAAAAAUAUUUUGGGAUUUAGGAAAAUACUUGGGUCAAAAUAAUAUUUCUUUUUAGGUACGACCAUAAGUAACGGCCAAGUAAUUUACCAAAAUGCCGAGCAGAGAUGGAUGACCAAAUGGAUGACUGUACUACUAAUUCUGAUGUGAGACUGAAGCGAGACGUUCAUAAACUGAGGAGACUAUAAGCGAAAACAACGUGGAGUGACCUUGCUGCGGAUCUGGAGAAAAAACGAGAUGUGGUACCUUGUGGUAUGCACAUAACAAAUUAUUGUAUUGCUCUAUUACGUUUAGCGUGUAUGUUUACAUUGAGUAUCUGUCAUAUGUGGAGAUGUUGUUAUUGUUGUCUGGAGUGUGAAUCAUUGUAUGUAAUAUUGAAGUAUCGGUAAUAAAGUGUAUACAAAUAAUGAA